AGGAAGUAAAAGUCGUAACAAGGUUUCCGUAGGUGAACCUGCGGAAGGAUCAUUAACGAGUUUGAAAUCGAGAGCCUGUUGCUGGUGCGGAAGCGCACAUCGUGCACGGCUCCCGUGCUCAAUCCAUUUCAACCCCCUUGUGCACCUUAUCGAAGUCAGUAGUCUUUCUCUUUUUGUUUGCCGGUUGUGUGUGGGAACCUCUUUCUGUUCACUUGGCCGGCGAGGAGAAAUAGAGGGUCGAAAGCUUUGACUUUUCUAUUAAACACUUUGUAUGUCUUGUGGAACGUAUUAGCUCCUUUGUAGGGGCGAAAUAAAUACAACUUUCAACAACGGAUCUCUUGGCUCUCGCAUCGAUGAAGAACGCAGCGAAAUGCGAUAAGUAAUGUGAAUUGCAGAAUUCAGUGAAUCAUCGAAUCUUUGAACGCACCUUGCGCCCCUUGGUAUUCCGAGGGGCAUGCCUGUUUGAGUGUCAUGUUAAUCUCAAACCCCUUGUCUUUUUUGUUGACUUGGUCGGUUUGGACUUGGAGGUGUUGCUGGCGUGUGUACGCAGUACUAUGUGUCGGCUCCUCUUAAUUGCAUUAGCUGGACUUUGGUUCGCAUUUGACGGUGUAAUAGUAAAGUGUUCGCCGGGCGUGCUUGCCUAACGGGUCUGCUUCUAAUCGUCUUCGGACAACUCUGUUCAUUUUGACCUUUGACCUCAAAUCAGGUAGGACUACCCGCUGAACUUAAGCAUAUCAAUAAGCGGAGGAAAAGAAACUAACAAGGAUUCCCCUAGUAACUGCGAGUGAAGCGGGAAGAGCUCAAUUUAAAAUCU
rnacentral:rRNA from 1 species